rnacentral:lncRNA from 1 species
UCCUCAGACAGAUUUUGGGGGCAGACGUGUGUCCUUGCUCAGGGGCACCUUUAAUGCUGCCUGGGGUGUGUUGUGUGUGCUGGGCUUGUCAGCGUGGGGAGUGCAGCUGAUAGCGGGCGGCUUCUGGAGGCUUCGGCGAUGGAUCCCGGGGAGAGGGCACAGGGCAGCACGGUUCUCCUCCCAGUCUUGUUCUGCGCUUUCUAAAAAUACUCCUGACAAACAGCUAAUGGGCAUUUUGGCCACACGGCUCUGAGCUGCCGCUGCCAUUUGGAAUGGGGCGUUUCUCUUUCAGACCUGCUCAUCCUGAUGUGUAUAUGAUUGGGAUAGACCUGGCUGUGUCGUGUCCUGGAACUUCACCACGGCCUGCUCACAGGGGCCUUUAAAAAACAAUAAAG